CCUACGGGUGGCUGCAGUGGGGAAUAUUGGACAAUGGGCGCAAGCCUGAUCCAGCCAUGCCGCGUGAGUGAUGAAGGCCCUAGGGUUGUAAAGCUCUUUCACCGGUGAAGAUAAUGACGGUAGCCGGAGAAGAAGCCCCGGCUAACUUCGUGCCAGCAGCCGCGGUAAUACGAAGGGGGCUAGCGUUGUUCGGAAUUACUGGGCGUAAAGCGCACGUAGGCGGAUAUUUAAGUCAGGGGUGAAAUCCCGGGGCUCAACCCCGGAACUGCCUUUGAUACUGGGUAUCUGGAGUAUGGAAGAGGUGAGUGGAAUUCCGAGUGUAGAGGUGAAAUUCGUAGAUAUUCGGAGGAACACCAGUGGCGAAGGCGGCUCACUGGUCCAUUACUGACGCUGAGGUGCGAAAGCGUGGGGAGCAAACAGGAUUAGAUACCCUUGUAGUC
rnacentral:rRNA from 1 species